UUCGGGGGUACACGAGUGGCGAACGGGUGAGUAACACGUGGGUGAUCUGCCCUGCACUCUGGGAUAAGCCUGGGAAACUGGGUCUAAUACCGGAUAUGAGCUCCUGUCGCAUGGCGGGGGUUGGAAAGGUUUACUGGUGCAGGAUGGGCCCGCGGCCUAUCAGCUUGUUGGUGGGGUAAUGGCCUACCAAGGCGACGACGGGUAGCCGGCCUGAGAGGGCGACCGGCCACACUGGGACUGAGACACGGCCCAGACUCCUACGGGAGGCAGCAGUGGGGAAUAUUGCACAAUGGGCGAAAGCCUGAUGCAGCGACGCCGCGUGAGGGAUGACGGCCUUCGGGUUGUAAACCUCUUUCAGCAGGGACGAAGCGAGAGUGACGGUACCUGCAGAAGAAGCACCGGCCAACUACGUGCCAGCAGCCGCGGUAAUACGUAGGGUGCGAGCGUUGUCCGGAAUUACUGGGCGUAAAGAGCUCGUAGGCGGUUUGUCGCGUCGUCCGUGAAAACUUGGGGCUCAACCCCAAGCUUGCGGGCGAUACGGGCAGACUUGAGUACUGCAGGGGAGACUGGAAUUCCUGGUGUAGCGGUGAAAUGCGCAGAUAUCA
rnacentral:rRNA from 1 species